CCUACGGGUGGCAGCAGUGAGGAAUAUUGGUCAAUGGCCGGAAGGCUGAACCAGCCAUGCCGCGUGAAGGUCAGUGCCCUAUGGGCGUUAACCUUCUUUUGUGCGGGAGCAAUAAUGGUCACGUGUGGCCAGACGAGAGUACCGUACGACUAAGGAUCGGCUAACUCCGGGCCAGCAGCCGCGGUAAUACGGAGGAUCCGAGCGUUAUCCGGAUUUAUUGGGUUUAAAGGGAGCGUAGAUGGGUUGUUAAGUCAGUCGUGAAAGUUUGCGGCUCAACCGUAAAAUUGCAAUUGAUACUGGCAGCCUUGAGUACAGUUGAGGUAGGCGGAAUUCGUGGUGUAGCGGUGAAAUGCUUAGAUAUCACGAAGAACUCCGAUUGCGAAGGCAGCCUACUAAACUGCCACUGACAUUGAUGCUCGAAAGUGUGGGUAUCAAACAGGAUUAGAUACCCGAGUAGUC
rnacentral:rRNA from 1 species